CAGGGAUUAUCAUCUCAGUUAAGACACGUUCAGAACGGCAACUCUUAAGGUUAAAACAGAUGAAUGUACAAUUGGCCGCCAAGAUUCAACACCUUGAGUUCAGCUGCUCUGAGAAGGAACAAGAAAUUGAAAGACUUAACAAACUAUUGCGACAGCAUGGACUUCUUGGUGAAGUGAACUAGACCCGGACCAGCUCCCCUCAAAAAGAAGACACUGCUUCAUGGGCCUGUGCUGUCACGAGAGGAACAGCUGCCCCUCCUGGGCCGCUUGGUGAGAGGUUUGGUUUGAUACCUCUGCCUCCCUCCUGCCAGCAUGGAUUCUGGGUGGACACAGCCUUGUGGAAGGUCCAGUACCACCAAGAGCUGCCCAUCCACUCCCACCCCACACUGUAUCAAAUGUAUCACAUUUUCUCAUGUUGAACACUUUAGCCUUAAUUGAAAAUGAGCAACAAAGCUG
rnacentral:lncRNA from 1 species